GUCUGAGUGGCAUAGCAGAAGUGUGAUGGACCCAUAAUCCACAGGUCCAUGUUCGAACCCUGGCUCCGAUA
rnacentral:tRNA from 1 species